rnacentral:rRNA from 1 species
CCUACGGGAGGCAGCAGUGGGGAAUAUUGCGCAAUGGGCGCAAGCCUGACGCAGCGACGCCGCGUGAGUGAUGAAGGUCUUCGGAUCGUAAACCUCUGUCAGCAGGGAGGAACGGUCACUGUGCUAAUCAGCAGUGAAUUGACGGUACCUGCAGAGGAAGCACCGGCUAACUCCGUGCCAGCAGCCGCGGUAAUACGGAGGGUGCGAGCGUUAAUCGGAAUUACUGGGCGUAAAGCGCUCGUAGGCGGUAUGUCAAGUCGAGGGUGAAAUACCCGGGCUUAACUUGGGGGUUGCAUGGGAAACUGUAGAGCUUGAGUACAGGAGAGGCAAGCAGAAUUCCUAGUGUAGCGGUGAAAUGCAUAGAUAUUAGGAGGAACACCAGUGGCGAAGGCGGCUUGCUGGACUGAAACUGACGCUGAGGCUCGAAAGCGUGGGGAGCAAACAGGAUUAGAUACCCCAGUAGUC